rnacentral:rRNA from 1 species
UUUAGAUGGCGACCGGCGCACGGGUGAGUAACACGUAUCCAACCUGCCGAUGACUCGGGGAUAGCCUUUCGAAAGAAAGAUUAAUACCCGAUGGCAUAGUUCUUCCGCAUGGUGGAACUAUUAAAGAAUUUCGGUCAUCGAUGGGGAUGCGUUCCAUUAGGUUGUUGGCGGGUAACGGCCCACCAAGCCUUCGAUGGAUAGGGGUUCUGAGAGGAAGGUCCCCCACAUUGGAACUGAGACACGGUCCAAACUCCUACGGGAGGCAGCAUG